rnacentral:rRNA from 1 species
ACAGCAGUCGCCGCGGUAAUACGUAGGGUGCGAGCGUUAAUCGGAAUUACUGGGCGUAAAGCGUGCGCAGGCGGUUAUAUAAGACAGAUGUGAAAUCCCCGGGCUCAACCUGGGACCUGCAUUUGUGACUGUAUAGCUAGAGUACGGUAGAGGGGGAUGGAAUUCCGCGUGUAGCAGUGAAAUGCGUAGAUAUGCGGAGGAACACCGAUGGCGAAGGCAAUCCCCUGGACCUGUACUGACGCUCAUGCACGAAAGCGUGGGGAGCAAACAGGAUUAGAUACCCCCGUAGUCCCUGUCUCUUAUAC